CAGUAGCCGCGGUAAUACGUAGGUGGCAAGCGUUGUCCGGAAUUAUUGGGCGUAAAGGGCUCGCAGGCGGUUUCUUAAGUCUGAUGUGAAAGCCCCCGGCUCAACCGGGGAGGGUCAUUGGAAACUGGGAAACUUGAGUGCAGAAGAGGAGAGUGGAAUUCCACGUGUAGCGGUGAAAUGCGUAGAGAUGAGGAGGAACACCAGUGGCGAAGGCGACUCUCUGGUCUGUAACUGACGCUGAGGAGCGAAAGCGCGGGGAGCGAACAGGAUUAGAUACCCGCGUAGUCCCUGUCUCUUAUAC
rnacentral:rRNA from 1 species